GAGCAGCCUGUGAUGCAACAGUAAGUGAUGCCCAAAGAAGACAGAAGACCAUAGCGAGCCCACACAGGAGCAGCACCAGGCUGGAGGCUCUAUUGAGGAGAGGGAGUGCAAGUGAUGUGGUGGAGCUGAGCUGCCCAUCAGCAUGAAACCACUACAGCAUGAAAUAGAAGCAGACAAGCAAGGUCAUGGACACCAUCAUUGUACUUCCUAUCAAUCUGCUGGUACUGACAAGAAGGUGGUUCAAAUUCAAGUUGGAACAAAGUCUCUGUAACAGCCUUGUGCUCCAUUAAUGAUGGGCAGAGCACCUGUUUCCUGACUUGAACCUCUGGUAAUGGGAAGCAUCCAGAGCUCUAACCCACUGCAAGGUUUUUAUCACCAGGCUGUCCUGUUUUGGCUGAAGGUGUUGAAGAGGAUAAAGGAACAAGCUGUGAAGACUUGACAAACUACUCAGAAAUAAAAUAAUCUUAGCCUGACUUCAGAAGUGAAGCUGUGGGAUUCUGCAAUAAUUUGUCAGUGGAUGGAAAAGAACUCACUAGAACUGGCAAAAAAAAUAAUUGAGCUCCACUAAUAGGGCUGCACUGUCUAGUCUGAGUCCUAACAUUUCUAAUUGCUAACUGAGUUAAUUCAGAGUUAUAUAUGGUCAGUUUGCAGAAAGAAACACUACAAUACUGUUGUUGUGUGGCCACACUCAAGUCUUUACCACAGCCAUUUCCAAUCUGAGCUCUCAUCUUCAGUAAAGACUGACAGAGCACUCAGUGGGUGAAUUUUUUUUUCCUUCAGACCUUAAAAACUCCUAGCAUCUUCUAUAUUUUCUUGAGGAAGCUCACAGCAACCUCUUUUCCAUUUCACUCUUGAGUGAUGGUUAGAUUGAAAUAUAAGUGCUUUGUGAGCAUUUUCUAAAAGAAUUUGAUUCAGGCAGAUCUCUCCUCUCAAUUGUAUAUAUUCCAAACAUAUUUGCUGUAAGAGAAUGAAAUAAAUUUGCUGCAUCAUCUCAUAAAUAUGUCUUCAGAUCCUGUUAGCGUUCAUCAUGUUUUGAU